CCCUUAGAUGUUCUGGGCCGCACGCGCGCUACACUGUCGGAUGCAGCGAGUCUUAACCUUAACCGAAAGGUUUGGGUAAUCUUAUGAAAGUCCGACGUGAUGGGGAUUGAUCAUUGCAAUUAUUGAUCAUGAACGAGGAAUUCCUAGUAAGCGCGAGUCAUCAGCUCGCGUUGAUUACGUCCCUGCCCUUUGUACACACCGCCCGUCGCACCUACCGAUUGAAUGGUCCGGUGAAAUCUUGGGAUUUUGUUUUGUUUGCAUUUAUUUGUAUCGAGACGAGAGAACUUGAGUAAACCUUACCAUUUAGAGGAAGGUGAAGUCGUAACA
rnacentral:rRNA from 1 species